GGUUGUCGUCAGCUCGUGUCGUGAGAUGUGGUUAGUCCCGCAACGAGCGCAACCCCUAUUGUUAGUUGCCAUCAUUCAGUUGGGCACUCUAGCGAGACUGCCGGUAAUAAACCGGAGGAAGGUGGGGAUGACGUCAAAUCAUCAUGCCCCUUAUGACCUGGGCUACACACGUGCUACAAUGGUUGGUACAACGAGUUGCGAGUCGGUGACGGCGAGCUAAUCUCUUAAAGCCAAUCUCAGUUCGGAUUGUAGGCUGCAACUCGCCUACAUGAAGUCGGAAUCGCUAGUAAUCGCGGAUCAGCACGCCGCGGUGAAUACGUUCCCGGGCCUU
rnacentral:rRNA from 1 species